CAGAAACUGAUCUGUUAAGACAACUCAUUGAAUUGUUUUUGGUGCAGUGAUUACACAUUUUAGCCUGACGGGCAGAAGUGAAGAAACAAGUUUCCUGUCAGACAGGGGAUAUGUAUUCACCUGUAUCUCUGCUGGAUAUGAGGAGGAGACAAGGAAGACACGCCCUUAUCCAGCACUUACAAAGUAGAUGGGCAGCAUGUUGACAUUCAUGAAAAUAAGAUCUGAACCAGCCUUGGUUGCAAGUAUUGCAGAAGAUAUUUGGGUCCAGUGGGGUUUCCAGGAAUACCCCAGAAAAGUACUUUUUCUUAAGCUCACCUGUUGCAAGGAUGAAGGCCUAAAUUCUUCUCUCAGUUACACCAGUACAGACCCAGAGCAAUUCCUGUGGUGCUACAAUUUCAGAUUUUCAAUGGAACAACAGAACAGAAUUUGGAUCACAAACUAUUCCUUCUAAAGCAAUCUUCUGUGGGUGACAUCUGGACCUGACAGACAGCCUAAGUUAUCUGAUGCAUAAUUUUCUUUUUUCCAGCAUUUUACUCUAAAGCUUAAGAACUACACCUCUACCUCGAUAUAACGCUGUCCUUGGGAGCCAAAAAAAAAUCUUACCGUGUUAUAAGUGAAACCAUGUUAUAUUGAACUUGCUUUGAUCCACCGGAGUGCUUUACCGUGUUAUAUCCAAAUUUGUGUUAUAUUGGGUGACAUUAUAUCUAAGUAGCGGUGUAUAUAUUCAGGUGUCAUUCCACAAAUUUACUUUUUUCCUUUCAAGGGCCCAAUACUCAAACUCACACAAUUACUAUUCCAUCUUGCAAACACACAUAUGCUUAACUUUAAGCAUGUGAGUAGUUCUGCUGUCUUAAAGUUAAGCACACACGUAAACACUUGCAGGACCACGGCCUUAGACAUUUCUCAAAAGGUUAUGGUUCAAUUAACUUCAAUGGGAGUAUGUUCAUAUGAGUAAGGGUUGGUUGCAGGAUCAGGCCUCAGGUCUGCACAAUAUUUUUAAAAGUUGGACAUGAACAUCUGAUAGCUGAAAGUGGCUCAGAAUCAAUAAAAUAUUUCAAUUUGUUUUAUAAUUUUCAUUUAAGGAUAUUCUGGUCUUGGUAUCAUGCUUUAUAUAAAACCCCAACACAUUUUUUGAUUUUGAUGUCAUGCAAGAAAGUAUUGACAAAAUGAAACAUUAAAUGACAAAUAGUUUGUUCCCACAACCAACUUUUUUGACAGCAUCUGGGCGACUUGGCCUAUAUAAGGAAAAAACAAAAACAAAAAAGAAACCAAACCCAAGUGAUCUGGGAAGCAAACCAAGCAUUACAUUUUUCUAAGAUUCCUUAAGUAUAUUAACCACAAUGCAACUUUAUUCAAAACUUACAAGGGCCUGCAGCUAUACCACCUUGGGAUUUACUCUCAUUAGACUGAAUGAGCCAGCUCCCCAGCACAGUGUUUAAGGAGGCCCUGUGCUGCUUGCAGUGCUGUUUUUUUGGGAUGGGAUAUAAAACAGAAGCCCUCACCACUUUUUGCAAGAAAAGGGAUGUUAGCCCAAGUGUUCUAGUUUCCCAUACUCACUACAAAAACAACCGUGUUUGUGACCCAAACAUUUAAUAACAAGAUUAAGAAAACCACAUGUUUUUAGCCCUUUCUUGGAGUCUCAUCUCCUAACACUGAAUGUGUUAUUGUUGAGGUUUACUACCACUACAGAAAUGUAGCCCCUUACAGAUGUAUUUUACAAGAGUGUCUGGCAACAGUAUGUUUUUUUGACACAGAAAAUUCAAUUAGUAGUUUAAAAUAAUUUGCUAGGUGACAAUGGUAAUGAUGGUCCACUGCAUACUCAUUAAAAGUAUAAUUAAUUAAGUAAAAUCAGAUUGCAUCAUUACCAUACCAAAAAGCCCAAACUCAAGCUAGGCGCAAAAGUUCGAACAUAAUAUAAUAAGGACUUUAUUAUACAAUUACCAAUGUUCCUACUAAUGUUCAGAUAUAAUAUUCUUCUCAAAAGAGCUUGUAUUAUUUUGUUUAACUGAUGUUAAGGAAAUGUAUGUUCAUUUGAGAACCCAAAUGAAAAAUCAAAACAAAAAUACAGAUUAUAUAUAUUUUUUAAAUUGAUGACAUAUGCUUCAGAAAAUACAGCUGGGAAUAAAUACAUUAAUAGUACAAAAUAAACCCCAUAUUUUAAAGAUGAGUGCACCAUUCUGUAAAUGACUCUAGAUUAGCAAAGAUUAACUUUAAAUCCCACCUGCCUUCUAGACUCCUUUCCAUUAUUCUGUGUUUGCCUGCUGCCAUGUUAGACCCCACAAACACAAAGACAACCGUUCACAGCUCAAUGCUUUUGGGUCUGCUCCAAACAGUGUGUCAACCAAAAAUACUAGCGUUUCACUCUGUUUUGAAGCAAUUACUUUUCUAGCUGGCAGGAGUUGCAAGUCCAGAACUAAUUUUACACUGUAAAUAACUCCCUUACUGGAUUACUUCAACUUUCUAAUACAACUCCUUUUUUGUUCUGCAAACUAACAGUAAAUAAUUCACAGGGAGUGAAUAAGAAGAAGAAGAAGAAGAAGAUGUUAUUAAGCUAACUUUUAACUGUUUCAUUAGAAACUAUGAUAAUCAGGGUCUACACACCCCAAGGGAAAACAGAAGGUUUAAUCCCCCCAGAAAUAAGCAGUUAAACCAACUGAUAGCAUACUGUGUGAUUUAACUGUAAGAAUAUAUUGAGUAAAAUCUUCUAUGAAUGCCUGUAAAUGCAAUGAACUUACUAGUCAUUAUGAGAUAUGUACACAGGUUAUGGUUGUGAAGGUGUGUGUGCAUAUAUAGAAAACUGUAACUGUGGUGCAACUUUACAAAAACUGUAAAGCCUGAGGUUAUGUCUAUUUUCUAUGUAACUGAUAUAUGUUUGCUCUCCCUCUACUAUUUCAUCUUUGAAUCUGUGGUUUUUCUA